GAUGAACGCUAGCUACAGGCUUAACACAUGCAAGUCGAGGGGCAGCAUUUUAGUUUUGCUUGCAAACUAAAGAUGGCGACCGGCGCACGGGUGAGUAAACACGUAUCCAACCUGCCGAUAACUCGGGGAUAGCCUUUCGAAAGAAAGAUUAAUAUCCGAUAGUAUAUUAAAACCGCAUGGUUUUACUAUUAAAGAAUUUCGGUUAUCGAUGGGGAUGCGUUCCAUUAGUUUGUUGGCGGGGUAACGGCCCACCAAGACUACGAUGGAUAGGGGUUCUGAGAGGAAGGUCCCCACAUUGGAACUGAGGCACGGUCCAAACUCCUACGGGAGGCAGCAGUGAGGAAUAUUGGUCAAUGGACGAGAGUCUGAACCAGCCAAGUAGCGUGAAAGGAUGACUGCCCUAUGGGUUGUAAACUUCUUUUAUAUGGGAAUAAAAGUAUUCCACGUGUGGAAUUUUGUAUGUACCAUAUGAAUAAGGAUCGGCUAACUCCGUGCCAAGCCGCCGCCGUAAC
rnacentral:rRNA from 1 species